UGACCGCUGGCGGCAGGCCUAACACAUGCAAGUCGAACGGUAACAGGCAACAGCUUGCUGUUUCGCUGACGAGUGGCGGACGGGUGAGUAAUGUCUGGGAAACUGCCUGAUGGAGGGGGAUAACUACUGGAAACGGUAGCUAAUACCGCAUAACGUCGCAAGACCAAAGAGGGGGACCUUCGGGCCUCUUGCCAUCGGAUGUGCCCAGAUGGGAUUAGCUAGUAGGUGGGGUAACGGCUCACCUAGGCGACGAUCCCUAGCUGGUCUGAGAGGAUGACCAGCCACACUGGAACUGAGACACGGUCCAGACUCCUACGGGAGGCAGCAGUGGGGAAUAUUGCACAAUGGGCGCAAGCCUGAUGCAGCCAUGCCGCGUGUAUGAAGAAGGCCUUCGGGUUGUAAAGUACUUUCAGCGGGGAGGAAGGGAGUAAAGUUAAUACCUUUGCUCAUUGACGUUACCCGCAGAAGAAGCACCGGCUAACUCCGUG
rnacentral:rRNA from 1 species